rnacentral:lncRNA from 1 species
GUAUUAACGUAGUAUUCUCAGGUCUCGCUGGCUACUGAUACUGCAUAUACAACGUUCCAUUAUGCAAAAAUUAUGUAUUUAGUAAUUAAGACCAGUUGAUACAGGGCUUCUAUUAAUCAUUGGUGCAGUCAGUAGAAAGGUCAAUAAUGCAAUUUAUUGCUCUACCCUUUUCCAAAAAAAAAAA